rnacentral:rRNA from 1 species
CAGCAGCCGCGGUAAUACGUAGGGUGCGAGCGUUAAUCGGAAUUACUGGGCGUAAAGCGGGCGCAGACGGUUACUUAAGCAGGAUGUGAAAUCCCCGGGCUCAACCUGGGAACUGCGUUCUGAACUGGGUGACUAGAGUGUGUCAGAGGGAGGUAGAAUUCCACGUGUAGCAGUGAAAUGCGUAGAGAUGUGGAGGAAUACCGAUGGCGAAGGCAGCCUCCUGGGAUAACACUGACGUUCAUGCCCGAAAGCGUGGGUAGCAAACAGGAUUAGAUACCCCCGUAGUCCCUGUCUCUUAUAC